AUGUGCAGUCCGUUAGCUCAUGCAGCCUCUCCACUGAUCAGUGAACAUGGGCUAGGCGAUGGGAAAGAUAAUGGUCGUCUCUUUCCGAAAACUGGCUAUUCCUCCCCUUUUGGAGUUCCUUUUCUGAAAGAUAAUGGAGUUCCUUUCGUGCAAGCAGGGCCCGUCUUGACCUUGAUUAAAAGCCUCGAGCAAGCGUCAAUACUUAAUCAUUGCGGUUCAACUCCCAUCAACGAUCCGGCUCAUCCAUCGGCCUAUCCUCAGGCCGUUGGUCAAAUUGACGACCUAGGGUGUUUGAGAUGCGGUGACCAAGAGUUUCAGCUGAUCUGGUCCGUGGUUGCUGCUGCUGUGUUGGCCACAACUCCACUGCCUCUUGCUGAACUGGCCACCGGACAACUGAAAGCCUCGCGACUCAGACUAGUCUCACAACACCUUGUGUGGUACCAUUCAGAUCCAGAUAUUUCUCAUCAUACACCAAGUGGCCAGCAUGGGCAUGCGAGAAGCUCGCGCCCAAAUCCUCGUGCCCUCGACGCGGCCUCGAAGACCUCCGCCGCCAUUGCGGAACCCCUCCAUCUCUCAGACCACAUCGCCGCCGCCGCCGACCUCUCCCAGUCCCGCUCGGACCACGCCGCCGGCCUCCCCUCCCCUCCCCUCCCCUCAUCAGAAAGAAGAAGAGACAGAGAUGCUCUUCCUCAGACGGCGGCGGCGGCCAGAUCGAGCAGGACAGGGCACCACACGGCGCUCCCCGAUCCGCCACGGUCGCAAGAGGAAUCGCGCCGGACGGGAGAGGACCGUCUGCUACGACUGCUUCGUGCGUCGUUGUUGGAGAUGCUCGCGCGCCGGGAGCUUCCUCCGCUCUCCCACUGCCCCGACCGUAGCUUUUCACGCUCUGAAGAUGUACUGCAUUCUACAGUGAUGAAUGUUAUCAAGCUGAAGAAGAUGGCCGGUGCCCUGCGCUGGAGGCAAGGGCAGCGUGCACAUGUGCUUUCUAUUUUUCCUUCCACUGAUGACAGGAAGAAGAAGGCAGUGCACAAGACCACGACCACCGAGGACAAGAGACUUCAAAGCACUUUGAAAAGAGUAGGAGUCAGCACCAUUCCUGUGCAAGCUUCACGUUGCGCGCUGGCCUUCCAAACGACUACUUCUCUGUCGGUUGGCGUGAAGACAGGGGUCGUGCCAGUGUGGUACAAGUCCUCCAGUUCACCCGGCGGCACACCAACCCGCGUGGCGCGGCACGGAGUGCCCUCAUGGCAUAAUUUAGGAUGCACGCCGACCAUGGGAUAUAAGAAGAAACGAGUGGAUUUGACUGUCAGCAGGGUUGGGACCUCAAGCUCUACUGUUGGGCUGCUGGCAGUUAUUGUUCAGAAGCCUGAUUGUAUAUUGAUGUUGCACUUUGGCUGUCUUUAUCCCAAAUUAAGAUGUUCUUAUGGUGCUACACAAAUGGUGAUAUGGAGGAACCAAAAGAUCCAGAAGCAUCACCUCAUUAAAAAUUCAGGGAGCAAGGUUUUUGAGUCGCCGAGUCAAGCCAAGUCGCCAAGGCUGCGGCUAGUGGCUUGCUGGCUUGAGUCAAUAAGCAAAGUUAUCAGGCCAAACAGGCCCAGCACGGCCCAGCUAACCACUCCCGGCCCUCAUCCACUCGCUAAACCUAGCGCUGCCAGCCUGCACUCCUUCAUCUGCGCCUCUCCUCUCGAACUUCUUCCUCUGCGCCGCCGGCGAGGAGAGGCGGCGCCUCCUCCCCAGCCUCACCCGCCUCCGGCUCAGUCCUGCAGCUUCAUCUCCUCCUCCCUCGCCUUAGUCUGCGCCGCCGCAGCCUCGCUCAAGGUCACGGCCGUCGCCGCGGAGGUCCAGCCGCCGUCGAUCUGA
rnacentral:rRNA from 1 species